rnacentral:rRNA from 1 species
GAUGAACGCUGGCGGCGUGCCUAAUACAUGCAAGUCGAGCGUAUGGAUUAAGAGCUUGCUCUUAUGAAGUUAGCGGCGGACGGGUGAGUAACACGUGGGUAACCUGCCCAUAAGACUGGGAUAACUCCGGGAAACCGGGGCUAAUACCGGAUAACAUUUUGAACCGCAUGGUUCGAAAUUGAAAGGCGGCUUCGGCUGUCACUUAUGGAUGGACCCGCGUCGCAUUAGCUAGUUGGUGAGGUAACGGCUCACCAAGGCAACGAUGCGUAGCCGACCUGAGAGGGUGAUCGGCCACACUGGGACUGAGACACGGGCCAGACUCCUACGGGAGGCAGCAGUAGGGAAUCUUCUGCAAUGGACGAAAGUCUGACGGAGCAACGCCGCGUGAGUGAUGAAGGCUUUCGGGUCGUAAAACUCUGUUGUUAGGGAAGAACAAGUGCUAGUUGAAUAAGCUGGCACCUUGACGGUACCUAACCAGAAAGCCACGGCUAACUACGUGCCAGCCGCCGCAGUAA